UACAGAGGGUGCAAGCGUUGUUCGGAAUUACUGGGCGUAAAGAGCUCGUAGGCGGUUCGUCACGUCGGCUGUGAAAUCCCGAGGCUCAACCUCGGGUCUGCAGUCGAUACGGGCGGACUGGAGUACUGCAGGGGAGACUGGAAUUCCUGGUGUAGCGGUGAAAUGCGCAGAUAUCAGGAGGAACACCGGUGGCGAAGGCAGGUCUCUGGGCAGUAACUGACGCUGAGGAGCGAAAGCGUGGGGAGCGAACAGG
rnacentral:rRNA from 1 species